rnacentral:rRNA from 1 species
UACGGGGGGGGCAAGCGUUGUUCGGAAUUACUGGGCGUAAAGGGCUCGUAGGCGGCCAACUAAGUCGGACGUGAAAUCCCUCGGCUUAACCGGGGAACUGCGUCCGAUACUGGAUGGCUGGAGGUUGGGAGAGGGAUGCGGAAUUCCAGGUGUAGCGGUGAAAUGCGUAGAUAUCUGGAGGAACACCGGUGGCGAAGGCGGUUCUCUGGGCAUGUUCUGACGCUGAGGAGCGAAAGUGUGGGGAGCGAACAGG